CUCCCUGUUCGGGCGGCGCUCGGCGUCGCAGGUUUACUAGCCGCCACCGAUCCCUUUUUCCUUUUCUGGUUGUUUUGUCUGUCUUCCUUUUCACACCUGGUUUCAUUUGCGUUUAUUUCUGGGUGUAUAUAGAGCACCUGUUGCUUGCCUUAGUUCGUGCGGGAUUAUGUUUGUGUGUAUUUGCGCUCGAUUAUCUUUGACGUUUAUUGGUUUCACUAUUUAGGCACGUGUAUGUAAGUGUCGGAACUGUGGUUGUUCCUCCGUGUGUUGGCACGAGUUUCUGAUCCUUCGAGAGCCUAGUUUUGUUUUUGUCUGUGCCAUUUUUGUAUUGGUGGAUAUAUAUAUAUAUAUAACACGCUUCUCAGAAAUCCCUGCUCUCCUGCGCCUGACUCUUACACCUCUCACCGAGACGCACCUUAUCACACACACACCCAGUCCCUCGUGACACACACAGCGCUCACUCCAUGCAAAUAUUAGUCCACAAACAUUGUUCAGCCAGUCUGAAAAUGCAUUGCAUAUCAUGGAAAUGCUAGUUUCAGUAUUCAAAACUCCCAGCUGCAUUGCUGUCUAUUAGAUACAGUGGAGGCUGCUGAGAGAACGGCUCAUAAUACUGAACAGAACGGAGCAAACGGAAAUGGCAUCAAACCUGGAAAUCACCUGUUUGAGAAAAGCAGAACUGCCGUGUUGACAAUGUCACGAUCGUCGUAAGGAACGGACCAAAAUGCAGCGUGGUAGAGAUUCAACUGUGAGGUCAGCAGACAACCUGGGCAGUGCCAUCUAGUGGACUCUGUGAGGAGAACAAGCUCAGACUCAUUGGGCUUGCACGGCGGGGGAGCUGACAUCAACCCAACCUCUUGCCCUGGGCUCGUUUUCAUCUGUUGCUUAUAAUCAGAACAGAGUUUCCAUCCAGAAACAACCUCUAGCCCCUAGGAUCUGUGUAGAUCUGAAAGGGUGGGAUAGGUAUGGCCAAAGUUCCACAUAACCGUUUUCCAUUACAGUGUAGGCUAUUCAUAGAGUAUUCUUUCCCUGUUUUGGACAGGGAAAGAAUUUCUGUGUUUUGAAUGGUACUGUUAUUCCACCCCACAGAAUACAGUAACAUACUGUAUCUUUGGAGCUCCAAAAAACUUUUGACCACUAGUGGGUACAUGUUAUUGUUGUUUCUGGCUCAUUAACAUAUUUUGAGGCGUGGCUUGUAAGAGGUUAUAUUUGUUGCACUGGUGAGUGAGACUGCUGUAACAAUUUAGAUCCCACAUGGUUAUUGUGCCCCAUUGCAGUAAUUAUUAACCACUGUAAGUUUAAGCUGUUGGA